ACACGACUACAUUAGAUACCCCGGUAGUCCUAGCCGUAAACGAUACUCGCUAGGUGUCGGCCACGGUGCGACCGUUGUCGGUGCCGUAAGGAAGCCGUGAAGCGAGCCACCUGGGAAGUACGGCCGCAAGGCUGAAACUUAAAGGAAUUGGCGGGGAGCACAACAACGGGUGGAGCUUGCGGUUUAAUUGGAUUCAACGCCGGAAAUCUUACCGGGACCGACAGCAACAUGAAGGCCAGGCUGAAGACUUUGCCGGAUUAGCUG
rnacentral:rRNA from 1 species